rnacentral:rRNA from 1 species
AUUGAACGCUGGCGGCAGGCCUAACACAUGCAAGUCGAGCGGAGCGGCGGACGGGUGAGUAAUGCCUAGGAAUCUGCCUGGUAGUGGGGGAUAACGUCCGGAAACGGGCGCUAAUACCGCAUACUAUCAGAUGAGCCUAGGUCGGAUUAGCUAGUUGGUGGGGUAAAGGCCUACCAAGGCGACGAUCCGUAACUGGUCUGAGAGGAUGAUCAGUCAAAAUGGAACUGAGACACGGUCCAGACUGCUACGGGAGGCAGCAGGGGGGAAUAUUGGACAAUGGGAGGAAGCCUGAGACAGCCAUGCCGCGUGUAUGAAGAAGGUCUUCGGGUUGUAAAGUACUUUAAGCGGGGAGGCGUUACCCGCAGAAUAAGCACCGGCUAACUCCGUGCCAGCAGCCGCGGUAAUUC